GCCGUGUUUGCUGAGCUGAUUUGACCGGUUGAUACAGAUAGCAGCGGCGAGCCUCCCUGCUUAUGUGGAAAAAGACUAUUUUAAGUGUCAUAAUUAAGUUUAGAAGCCUUGUUUGGGCUCAUUCACUGCUCGAAAUAAAAAGGAAUGGCUGCUUUUAGACCCUUUUUGAAGGGGUUGGCUAAGCGCCUCUGCACGUUCGCUUGGAAAAGAAUGUUUUCUUUUCUAGUUUAAUAUUAGAAACUAUAUUUUUACUUGUUUAAACCGGAUUUGAUUGUUCCUGUGGAGAUUUUUUCCCCCCUCCUAUCACUCAAAUCUUUGUUCAUUGUUCAUUGACUGUGGAAGGCUGCUUAAAUGUACGGAGAGAGGGGGGAGGCCCCCUUGCUGGUUUGAUGUUGAAAUAGUAAACCUGAAUGAGGAGGGUGGCUGGAAAAGUGGACAUUGCAGCUUUAAUUAACUUCAAGAUGCUUCAGCGAGGACCAGAGCGUAGUAGUGACGUUGCCUCAUAAAUCUGUCCAGUACAGUGCGUUGCAUUGAACUAUUACAGUAUCACCAUCAUAUUGAAUAUUCACUACCUAUCCGGGAGCAGAUUUGCAUAAUUGGAUCUUUUUUAAAUGAAACCUGUCUGCAAAAAACAAACAAAAGCAAAAAAACAAAAGCCCAAGUGAAAACCGCGGCGAUCUGCAUGAUUAUAAGGGUUCAAACAUAUCCGAAAAGUUUUAUUUUUACAAUUCCGGCCUUCAGUACCUAUCCCACAUCUUUUAAGAAUCUCCUCAGCCAGGGAACAGACUCAUUGAUUUAAGUGUAACUGAUACUGCCACAAACAACAGGAGGCAAGUUUCAUGCUACUCUGCUGAGCAGGACCAGUGUUUUUUUACAGUGGCUUUGCUGAGGUGCUCUCUAUUUGGCAUUUCCGUACUUCUUUGCCAGCAGAAGUAGGCAGAAUAGCGCCCAACUGUGAGUUGGAAAUUGUGAUUGUGCAGUUCUAUACUGUGUUUUUAAAUCC
rnacentral:lncRNA from 1 species